rfam:Brassica napus, WGS project CCCW01000000 data, contig: 41477
AGAAUAUAAGAACUCGUCUCUUAACUUUUAACUAAAAAACCUAAGAACCGGUUCUUAAAUAGGAGUUUUAAGAACCGGUUCUUAAAUAAGAGUUUUAAGAGCCGGUUCUUAAUUUUUUUAGUUAAAAGUUAAGAGACGGAUUAUUAUAUUCC